rnacentral:rRNA from 1 species
CGCUGGGGGCAGCUACACAUGCAAGUCGAGCGGCAGCGGGAGGAAGCUUGCUUCCUCGCCGGCGAGCGGCGGACGGGUGAGUAAUGUCUGGGGAUCUGCCCGAUGGAGGGGGAUAACCACUGGAAACGGUGGCUAAUACCGCAUAACGUCGCAAGACCAAAGUGGGGGACCUUCGGGCCUCACACCAUCGGAUGAACCCAGAUGGGAUUAGCUAGUAGGUGGGGUAAUGGCUCACCUAGGCGACGAUCCCUAGCUGGUCUGAGAGGAUGACCAGCCACACUGGAACUGAGACACGGUCCAGACUCCUACGGGAGGCAGCAGUGGGGAAUAUUGCACAAUGGGCGCAAGCCUGAUGCAGCCAUGCCGCGUGUGUGAAGAAGGCCUUCGGGUUGUAAAGCACUUUCAGCGAGGAGGAAGGUGGUGAUCUUAA